rnacentral:rRNA from 1 species
UAUUGGUCAAUGGCCUAACGGCCGAACCAGCAAUUUGGGGGAAUGUGAUAUCUUUUAGUCGGGAUAUCAAUAUAAACGACUAUGUCGUAUAAAGUUCUAGAUAGAUGAUUGAUAAUGACAGUUUUCUAUCUAUAUGUCUUGACCAAAUCUUGUGCCAGCAGUCGCGGCAAUACAAGUAAGACUAGUGUUAUUCAUCUUAAUUAGGUUUAAAGGGUACCUAGACAGUAUUUCUAGCCUCCAAAGGGAACAGAUUUACUAGAGUUUUAUGUGAGAGGAAAAUAUUAGAACCAUUGGAGUAGUGAUAAAAUGUUUUGAUACUAAUGGGACGGAUAACGGCGAAGGCAAACCUCUAUGUAAUAACUGACGUUGAGGGACGAAGGCUUGGGUAGCGAAUAGGAUUAGAUACCCUAGUAGUCCAAGCAGAGAAUUAUGAAUGUUAUAGAUUAAAAUAUUUGGUGUAUAAAUGAAAGUGUAAGCAUUCCACCUCAAGAGUAAUGCGGCAACGCAGGAACUGAAAUCAUUAGACCGUUUCUGAAACCAGUAGUGAAGUAUGUUAUUUA